AUUGAACGCUGGCGGCAGGCUUAACACAUGCAAGUCGAGCGAGCGGCGGGCGGGUGAGAAAUGUCUGGGACACUGUGAGAUGGAGGGGGAUAUCUACGGGAAAGGGGCUAUAAUACCAUAUACUAACAGAUGUGCCCAGAUGGGUAUAGCUAGUAGGUGGGGUAACGGCUCACCUAGGCGACGAUCCCGAGCUGGUCUGAGAGGAUGACCAGCCACACUGGAACUGAGACACGGUCCAGACUCCUACGGGAGGCAGCAGUGGGGAAUAUUGCACAAUGGGCGCAAGCCGGAUGCAGCCAUGCCGCGUGUGUGAAGAAGGCCUUCGGGUUGUAAAGCACUUUCAGCGGGGAGGCGUUACACGCAGAAGAAGCACCGGCUAACUCCGUGCCAGCAGCCGCGGUAAUAC
rnacentral:rRNA from 1 species